AUGAGUAGUUCAAAAUGUGCAAUCCUAAGCUGGAACGUUAGGGGGCUGAACACACCAGCCGGGCAAACGGCUGUGCGAGAAAUCGCAGAUGCACAUCGUGCAAACAUCCUUUGUUUGCAGGAAACGAAACUAGAAACUUGGACGCCCAGUGUGGUCAGAGAACUGGGAGGAGAUAAAUUAGAUCGUUGUGCUGUUCUACCAGCAAUUGGUACUAGGGGAGGGAUUGCUGUCCUCUGGGACAAAAGCAUGGUCAGUUUUGUGACACAUGCAGUUGGGAACUUCUCAAUCACGGGGAAGGUGUCUCUGCUUCAGGAUGGACUAGAUUUCUGGCUUACAUCAGUUUACGGGCCUGUGGAGGACACGAGAAAGGAUGCAUUCCUUGCCGAACUCGCCCAUGUCGCACCACCACAAGGAGAACCCUGGCUCCUUAAUGGAGACUUCAACAUCAUCUAUGAAUCCCGUGACAAGAGCAACCUCAAUUAG
rnacentral:rRNA from 1 species